UACGGCGGGUGCAAGCGUUAUCCGGAUUCACUGGGUUUAAAGGGUGCGUAGGAGGGUAGGUAAGUCAGUGGUGAAAUCUUCGAGCUUAACUCGGAAACUGCCGUUGAUACUAUCUAUCUUGAAUACCGUGGAGGUGAGCGGAAUAUGUCAUGUAGCGGUGAAAUGCUUAGAUAUGACAUAGAACACCAAUUGCGAAGGCAGCUCGCUACACGAAUAUUGACUCUGAGGCACGAAAGCGUGGGGAUCAAACAGG
rnacentral:rRNA from 1 species